rnacentral:rRNA from 1 species
UACGUAGGUGGCAAGCGUUGUCCGGAUUUACUGGGCGUAAAGAGCGCGCAGGCGGUCGUUCAAGUCGCGUGUGAAAGCCCCCGGCUCAACUGGGGAGGGUCACGCGAUACUGAUCGACUCGAAGGCAGGAGAGGGUAGUGGAAUUCCCGGUGUAGUGGUGAAAUGCGUAGAUAUCGGGAGGAACACCAGUGGCGAAGGCGGCUCACUGGACCGGUAUUGACGCUGAGGUGCGAAAGCGUGGGGAGCAAACAGG